rnacentral:lncRNA from 1 species
AGACGCAGAAGCACCCAGCACCGAGCCGCCGCGCCCAGGAACCGCGGGAGCUAGGCUGAAGCAAGAACUGGUGUCGACCGCCUUACCUUGCAAUCGUUGCGGACGAACAUCAUGCCGUGUCCAGGAUAGAUGGGCCCCGAACAGAAAUAACACUUUUCGAUACGCAUGUUGAACCCGCGUGUAACCCCACCAAACAAACGCCAAGCUUGAGAGGAAGUGAUGCAACCCCGUCACCGGAAGUUACCUUCUUCCCCCUUCCCCGACCGGAAAAAGGCAAGCGUCCUUCGUUCUCGCGGGUCUGUUAGACCAGAUGCGAACACGACUGUGCCUCCGGCGGCCGUGUGGUCAAAUGCGCUGCCGUUUGACGCAGGCGCAGAGCUGCAGACUAGACCUGUUCGCUGUUACUUUGGGGAAAUGUGGUUCUGCGCCACCUUGUGAACUUGCUCUCACAGCGCCUAGUUUUUUCUCUCUGUGUGUCGGCAUUUAUGCAAGUAUUAUGUAUCUUUGGUUUGUGCUUUGCCUCGGAGUGCUCUCGAGAGCACUCUCUUAACUCAUUUGUCUACUGCCUGCCCUAGACCAGCCCUCGAUUCUCGUCCCACAGUGAUUUGCAGGGUGUAAGCGGCGAAGACCCUGCAAUCCAGCGUUGCUUCGAACAUUGCAAUGAAAACGGUUGAGUUGCUGAUGCUCCAAGGACUUUACCAGCAAUUUUUUUAAAUAUAAAAUCGUGUUAUCCGCCUCCCCCCCAUUUUAAUUAAUAUGCAUAUGUAGUAAACAAAUAUUUUCGCCGGAAACUACGACUCCCUCCCUAGACCUGCGGUCUUCCUCCCCAGGGGCAAAACAGUUCCAUUUAUUACCUGCCAGAGCUUUUCUGUGCAUAGGCAAACAUGUAUAUUUGUGUGUUUGCCUGUCUCUACGUCCUCUUCUUUAUAAUACUAGUUAAUAUGCUAUUUACUCUUUUCUGCAUCUUGCUGUUACCUUGUAUCCCUUCAUUGGAAUGUGAGCUCCAUGAGGGGCAGGGAUUUCAGUUCGUUUGGUUUACAACUACAUCCCAGUAUCUAGAACAGUCCCUGGCACAUAAUAGGCAUUUGAUACAUAUUUUACUGUAAAAGGGUAUUUAACAUUCUUUUUCAUAUAUAUAUGCCAUUGUAUGAAAGUAUUUUAAUUGGUCACUAAUCGAUGGGCAUUCUUAUCUUUUGAUAUAAUAAGUAUCUGUUGGUACGCUUUUUCAGGAGAGGGUUUAUGUAGAACUGCUGGAUCAGAGGAGCUGGAUAUAGAUAAAUAGUUUUAAAAUUUGGCAGAUAAUACUAAAUUGCCUUCCAAAAGUUUUUACCAAUUAACACUCAGCAUCAACAAAUAAGAUGUCUGUUUCACUACCCCGCUGUGAAAAGUGAUCUUUGCCAACCUGAGAUGAAAAUUUAUCUUAUUAUUAUUUCAACUUGAAUUUAAUUACAAAUGAUGUUAAGAAUCUUUCACAAUGUUUUUCAGCUUUUUUCUGUGAAUUGCCUGUUCAGGUCCUACGCAGUUUUCUAUUCUUUCGUUGAUUUUCAACAGCACUUUACACGUUAAGGUUAGUCCUUUGCUGACAUGCAUUUAGAAAUUAUUUCCCUAUCAAUGUUUUAAGCUUUGCUCAUGGUAUUUUUCCAUGCAGAAAUAUGUUGUUUAUAUAUUCAGAUUUAUCCAAUUUUUUUAUGAUUUUGGAUUUGGUACUUUCCUUUAAACUGCACUUCUCACUCCAAAAUUGUUUUUCAAAAUGUUUUCUCUUAUGUUUUGUAGUUUCAUUUUUUUGCAUUUGAAUUUUCAACUCGUCUGGAAUUUAAGUAUAAAUGACAUAAGACUCCAGUGUCUUUCCCUCAGUGCUGUAUGUUGAUAAAGCAUCCUUUCCCCCACUCACUCAUAAUGUCACAUCUAUGGCUCCAUUUCUGGACUCAGUUCCAUCGUUUUAUUUGUUAAUGUGCCACUGCCCAAAUAUUUAAAUUAUUGUCAUUUUUUGAAUAACUGGGUUUACCUCCUCUCCCUUUCUAUUAGUUUUCAUGCUGCUGAUAAAGACAUACCCUAGACUAGGCAAUUUAUACAGGAAAGAGGUUUAAUGGACUCUUUAUGGCUGGGGACACCUCACAAUCACAGCAGAAGCCGAGGAGGAGCAAGUCAGGUCUUACAUGGAUGGCAGCAGGCAAAGAGAAUGAAAACCAAAUGAAAGGCGAAACCCCUUUAAAAUAAUCAGAUCUCGUGAGACUUAUGCACUAUCAUGAGAACAGUGUAGGGGAAACUGGCCCCAUGAUUCAAUUAUCUCCCACCAAGUCCCUCCCACAACACAUAGGAAUUAUGGGAGCUAUAAUUCAAGAUGAGAUUUGGGUGGGGACACAGCCAAACCAUAUCACCCUUCCUUCCUUGUCCUUCUUAUUCAUUUUUUAUCUGGCUAUUCUUCAACAUUUAUCUUUUCAUUUUAACUCUAGAAUCAGUUUGUAUAGUUAUAAUCUUCAAAUACACACAUUUUUCCUUUUAUUGGAUACUUUUUCUUGUCUAGUCAUUCGACCAGUAAUUCCAGAGUAAUGUUAAAUAACAAAGGCACAUACCAGAAAUUUUAGUAAUAAACAUCUGCCCAAUACUUUAUUGUCAACCAAGAGACUGAAAAUUAUUUUACUUUUCUUUACUCUUCCUCUCCUAUCCUCCUCAACAAUUAUGGAAGAGCCUCACCAAUCUUUGCAAACUUUACACAGUUCCUUCCCAACUCUGUUUGUUCCUACUACUUCACCAAGAAAUUUUAUACCCUUCCCAUAUACAUGAACACCCAGGUUUACCCUCUUACCUUUGAUGUCAGAGGCCACAUCAUUUAUCUGUGUUCUUAAUUUCAUACCUUAAGGCUUCAUCUGAGACUUUGUUCCCUUCAGUCCAUGAACAUAUUCAGUGCUUCACUUUAGAAUGAGUGUGUGUAUAGCCAGCCUUAGAAAUUGUUUUUUUCUUUCCAUCUAUUUUAAUGGAAUACAAGAUUGAACUGAAAUCUUGGAAAUAUGAUUCCAUUUAUCCUUCUUAGGAUUUAUGAUUCCUAAAUCUAAGGGUAUGUGUCUUUUAUCAUUACUGGAAAAUUCUCAGCUAUUAUCUUUUCAUAUAGUGCCUCUUCCUUCAGUUUCUCUAAUUUCUCCUCAUAGAAUUCCUACUAGAUAUAAGUUGGAGCUUUUUUUCUUCCCUCUGUGUCUUUUAACCCCUCCAGGACUUUCUCCUUAUCUCUGUCUGCUGAAUUAUGGGUAAUUUCCUCUGACCUGCCU